rnacentral:rRNA from 1 species
AUGCCACCGGAAUACUUAUUUGGAAAUUUAGUCUCAAAUAAGUUAGACAUAUUCAGCUUGGGUGUUGCAAUGACCAAGAUAAUUGCAGGGCAUAAUGGCCAUGAUGAGCUUCUUGAUCAAGUACAAGGAAAUUGGAGAAAAAGGUUACAGACAACAUGGAGUUCUCCUGAGCCACUAGAAGCACAAUGUCAACAAGUGAAAAGAUGUAGUGAGAUUGCACUGAGCUGUAUGGAGACGGAUAGGCACAAAAGGCCAAGUAUAGUGGACAUCAUACAUGAACUUAACCAGACUGAAAAAAUUAUGGAGAAGGUUACUUCUUACUAUGAACAAGAACUGUCACCACCACCUUCCAAUUCAAAUGUUGUUUAA